GUUCUGAGCGGAAGAGGAGCCCAAGCGGGCUCGGGUGCUCACCUGCGCCCCCUGGGGGCCGAGGGGGGAAGAGACCGCAAGGCGAGACCAGGAGCCUGGGACCAGGCCGGACGCGACAGCAGGUGCAGGAGGGCGACGCUGGGCUGGACCCGGCGGGGCCGCGGAGGUGGGCAGAAGUCCAAGGUUUGGAUGUGAGUGGACAGAGAGCGAGAAAGGAGUCAAGUCAAGGAUGACACGAGGCUUCUGACCGCGGGACCGCCUGCCUCAGCGCAGCGUGGGCUAGAAGGGCCAGGGUCACGGGGCGAGCGAUUAAACCAUCAAUCACCCGCCGAUGCUGACAGCCACCCCUCACCUGGGACCCUCGGCCGUCUGCGAGCCCCCGGGCCAGCGGCAACUCAAAAACAGGCCUGGAGGCCUCCGAACCCUUCAAGGUGCGGCCUCGAGAGAAGCUCCCAGAUCCUUGUUCGUCUGGAUCCGCAGAAAGCCAUCCUGGGUUCAAACUCACAGCUGCCUCUUGCUCACUUGGCCGGGCCACUUCAUCGGUCCGUGCCUCAGUUUCCCCACCCGGAAAGUAGGGAUCAUACCAUUUUCGAUGCCGCUGGGGAUUACAUCAGUGAAUGUGAUAGCGUGGAGCGCGUAAUAAGUACUUUCUAGGAUGUACUACUGUGACCCUUGCCUUGCCUCUGGUAUACCUCGGAGAUCAUCAAGUCUUGAUAGAAAUCCAAGACUUCUGACUUGGGGGGUUGGUGAUGGGGAUCAUGCCUAUGCCUUCGUCCAGCUGGUGCCUCAUCCAAGUCACAACUGGGGGUGGGGGGGAAGGCUCUAGCAGAACCUUAACUCCUGCGCAACAACCCACAUUUAGCGUCACUGGUUGCAAGUAACAAGCCUCCCUGCUUUGCACUGGCUGUUCCCUCUGCCUGGAAUGCUCUUCCUCCACAUACCACGUGACUCCUCUUUGCCUGCUUCGGAGUUUGUUCAGAUGUCACCUCCUCAGUGAGGACACCCAGUUAAAAGCGCGCACAGUGCCCCCGCCUACCCCACCCACGCGGUUUUGUUGUUUCUAGAGCGGGCACGCACCCCCACCUAAUGUACCGGAGGCUGUGUUUGCUGGGUCAGUCUGACCACCUCACUGGAGUGUCAGCCCUGGGGCAGGGGUGUACCCCCUUCAACGCCCAGCACAGCACCUGGCAUGAAAUAAACACUCGGUGAAUUCUUGUUGAACGAAUGAAUGAAUGCAUUCCAAGGCUG